GCUGGUGGGCAGGCACAGUGAGCACUCAGGGCUGGCCCCACUGCCUCUGGUGCCUGUGCUGCUUCCCAGGCAGCUCUGGAGGGGCUUGUCACCCCACACAGGAGUCAUCAGUGUCUUCAGGGUGAUUGUUUCAGGUCACUUUAAUUGGGCCUGGAGACCAACCAGUGGCACUGUUUCUGACCAUCCAGGUGUCAAGAAAGACUCAGUAUCAGCCUGAGUGCAGGAGCAUUCUGGGGCUCCCACGUUGAAUCAGCCAUCUUUAGACUGUUUGGCAGUACUUUUCAGUGAUGCACAGAAGAGUAAAGCCGUAAAGCACAUCACCUUCCGACUCUGAGGACAUUGCUGUGUCCCACACACACCCCUUUGGAAAGGUUUCCUGAGUACCCUCAAAGUAGGUAUUGGCCAAUAGGUGGACAUGCAGCUGAGGGCACAGUCUGUGUGUUGCCAGUCCUGCUUUGAGGCCCAUUCCUUCAUUGAAGUGGCUGACCUCCCUAAGAAGAGCCCAAUUUAACCCUAGCAAAGAGGCCACAGGUAGCACAUUAUUACUGAAAUCUACCAUGCACAUUGUAUUAGUUACUUUCCUGUUGCUGUGACAGAAAUACUAUGACCAAAAGCAACUGAAGGAAAAGUGAAUUCAUUUGGUUUAUAGUUCCACAAGGGCUGGGUCUAUUAUGGUAGAGAAGACAACAGAAGCAGGAAGCAGGCUGAUCACGUUUCAUAUGAGAGAGAGAGAGAGAGAGAGAGAGACCCCAUGACAUACUUCCUCUAGCAAGGCUGCGCCUCCUAAAGGUUCCUAACUUUGAUUUAUAUCACGCCAACUGGGACUUAUUCGAGUACAGGAGCCUAGGGGGGACAUUUCUCAAUCAAACCAUCACAUGGACAGACCCCCCAAAUCUUUUAUCUGCAAACACUGAAAAUGGCUAGCCAUUUUAACAAAUUAUUGUAGCAAAUUUUUGUAUGAAUUUUAAUCUCCAUCUGUACUACAGAACACGAUGCGUAUGCUUAAAACAUUCUUGUAAAGUCUGUUAUUUGACGUUGUUUGAAAAUCGUUUUGGCAUGUGAUAUACAAAGAUGCAGACAGAUAGGUCUAUGACAACAAAGAAUGAAAGGGAAGCUGGCACCUAGGGACCAGCUAGCAAAGAGUCCAAGCAGUUGGACGACAGGGCCUCAGAGCCUCCAUGGCCUUACCCUUCCCAGGGCUGCGGCUGCCAGUUCUCUCAGUCCCAGCUCUGUAGUGGAAGGGGAUCUCUCUAGCAUCUAGUUCCCUGACUGCCAUUAAGGUGCGAUGUGAGUCUAUGACUAGCCUGGCAGAGCUCCCCUUCCAGAGAGUGUUCAGUCAGGCCUUUGCCUGUGCUUCAGGUAAGAGCUCCUUUGGUCUUGGUGUAAAGCUGCUCCUUGUGUGUUAUGGAACAGUCCUUGUUGUGAGUUGUGUGCAUGAUCAGCCCUUUUCUCCCUUCGAGGGUUGACCUUUUGAUCAUAAUGCUGUUUGUUAGUCUCUCAGUUUUCUCCGUGUACUUUUGGGUUGUGUUUUUAAAAAUACACAUUUCUCCCAAACCAUUUUGCCCUUGAGUAGUUUCCUACUUGUGUGGAUGUCCAUUCUGCUGGAAGUGGUGUAUGUAUUGCAUAGUUUAGAGUGUGCAUCUGACCCCUCAGAUCUCUUGAGAACCAGUGUCUGCACCCAUGUGCUUCCAUGCUCCCUGUUGGUGACGUCAGCCUUUGCUGUCAUUGCUUCAGUUACCACAAACUAGAAGUGAGCUUGGGCCCAGAAGUGCUAGUCUUCCCUAUUCUUGGGACUUUGUGUUUUCAUUGAAAGUCUUAAAAUUGAUCCAGACAUGUCCUGAGUUCACCUGAUACUUAGACUGACUCUGUGUAUCUAGUUGGUGAGAUGUGAUAUUUUACAGCCUUGAUUAUUCCUAACACCUCACUAUUCUUUGGGCCUUUCUAAUUUUUUCUUACCAAAAUGUUAGAGUUGUUUGCUCAGGAGACUUGCAUGUAUUUUACCAGGCAUAUUUCAAGCCAUCUGAUUGGUUAACACUAUUGUGCAUAGCUUGGUUUUGCAAUUUUGAAAAAGCAAUUAGCAACCUGCUGACUCUACUCUGUGCCCAGCAACCAUGUGAAACUCAUGUUCUAAUUACCAGCAAGGUGGGUCAGGUUUUCAGCCUAUAGAGGCACAUCCUCCAUAAACACUGGCAGGUUGUUUCCUCCUUCCCGACCAGAAUGCCCUCAUAUCUUUCCCAUCUUUACCUGACUGACCUAACUAGGAUUCCACUAGAAUGAUGAGUUAAAAUGGCAGUCUUGACUCCCUUCUGCUGUUGGAGGCAGGCUCAUUUUUCCAGAAGGCCUUACUCACUGGCCUGUUUAUCAAGUUACCCUCCUUUGCUAGUGCUGUGAGUUUGAGUAUGCAUAGAUAUUGAUUUUCCUCAGAUAUUUCAGCAUCUUUGGGAGGUGGUCAUAGGAUUAUUGUUUAUCUGACAUAUUUAAUGAAUGUGGCAAAUAGAUCUAUUAGGAUAGAAAUUUUAUCUGACAUUUAUAAAUAGCCCUCCUCACCUUGAUCAUAAAGCAUUAUCUUUUUCUAUGUGUUGCUUGUAUUUUGUAUGUCUGCAACUCUAUUUGUGAGAAUUUGUCUUAGUUAGGGUUUCUGUUGCUGCAAUGGAACACCAUGCAUGACCAAAAAGCAAGUUGGAGAGGAAAGGAUUUAUUUAGCUUACACUUACAUAUUGCAGUUCGCUAUUGAAGGAAGUCAGGAUAGGAACUCAAAACAGGACAGGAUCCUUGAGGCAGAAGCUGAUGCAGAGGCCAUGGACAGGCGCUGUUUACUGGCUUGCUUCCCAUGACUUGCUCAGCCUGCUCUCUUACAGAACCAAGACUACCAACCCAGAGAUGGCACCACCCACAAUGGCCUCUCACCUUACAGCUGGAUCUCAUAGAGGCGUUUCCUCACCUGAAGACUCCUUCCUUUCUAAUGAUUCUAGCUGUGUCAAGUUGAUAAACAAAACAAGCAAUACAGAUAUUGGCCAGCAUUUUCCUUCUUGUAAUGCCUUGCCAAGUUUGGUGUUUCAGCAGUGUUGGCCUGAGGCUGAGCUCUCUUUGGUCUGUAUGAACUGUGGUGCUUUCCCAUUUCACAUCCUCAGUGUUGGAUGUUAGCACCUUCUCUGUUGAUGGGUGUUUGAUUUCUUUAAAUUUCUUCUUUAGUCUCUCCAGAGCACGAUUCUCAACUCUCCUAAUGCUCCUACUUUUCAAUACAGUUCCUCAUGGUGUUGUGACCCCCAACAAUAAAAUUAUUCUUGUUGCUACUUCAUAGCUGUACUUUUGCUACUGCUAUGAAUCAUAAAUAUCCGUGUCUUCUGAUGGUCUUAGGUGACCCCGUGAAAAGGUUGUUCAGCCCGCAAAUGGGUCACUACUCAAAGGUUAAGAACUGCUGCUCCAGAGACUUACCAGUUUUGUCAGUCUGUUUAGAAUUCUUGCUUUUAGCUUUAUGGACAGUCUCUUCAGUGUUUUUCUACUUUGUUCAUUUCUAUUAACUGUAUUCUCCCCUUGUCUUCUGUUUUCUUUGGGUUUCUGACUCCUUCUCAUUCUGUGAGUUACACAUCUCUUAAUCAUUGGUUCCAGCCUUCUCUUCUGACAUCUGAAUGUAAAACUAUAAUUUUUUUCUCUAAGGACAACAUUAUCUAUAUUCAGUAAGUUUUGACACAUAGUCAAACUUUGUCUUUUAAUCAAUUUUUUUCAUAUUGAUAAGUUUGUCCUUAUGAGUGUCACCGUUCUUUACAAACCCCAAUUAUCGACCUCUUGUCUUUCCGUUUUCUUGCUCUAGACUUUAAUGAUGCCUUUUCCUCUCCUGCCAGCUUGGUAACUUGUUCUGCUCCUCUCCUGAUCACAGCUGUGGUUAGCACGGCCUGCUUGACUCCAUCACAUCUACUCAGGUUCACAGAGCGAGCAUUCUCUGAUUCAGUUAGGACUCGCAAUCUCCUUUUCAGGUGCGACUCUUAUCCACGAGAUUGAGGUUUCAUCUGUUGCGAUUUUCCUUCUAUUUCUUUCACGGAAUCUAGUGAUGAUGAAUUUUUGUCUUUUAAUUGUUGAAGGUUAAUUUUACUGAGUGUAGAUUUAUUAGGUUAAUAUUUAUUUUCUCUUGGUGCUCUAAAGAUCUUAUUUUCUUCAAAAAUUACCAUCAUUCCUAUUGUUCCUUUUUGAGAGAUAAUCUCUUAUCUGGCUACUAUUAAGAGUCUCUCUUCUGAUAUUUUCUAGUUCCAUCCAUUUGCCGGCAAAACUCAGGAUGUCCUCGUUCUUAAUAACUCAGUAGUACUCCAUGUGUAAAUGAACCACAUUUUCUGUAUCCAUUCUUCUAUCAUGGGACAUCUGGGUUGUUUCCAGCUUCUGACUAUCAUAAAUAAGGCCGCUGUGAACAUAGUGGAACAUGUGCCCCUGUGGCAUGGUGGGGCAUCUUUUGGGUAUAUUCUCAAGAGUGGUAUUGCUGGGUCUUCAGAUAGAUCUAUUUUCAAUUUUCUGAGGAACCUUCAGAUUGAUUUCCAGAGUCAUUGUACCAGUUUGCAGUCCCACCAGCAAUGGAUGAGUGUUCCUCUUUCUCUGCAUCCUCUCCAACAUGUGUUGUCACCUGAGGUUUUGAUCUUAGCCAUUCUGAUUGGUAUAAGAUGGAAUCUCAGGGUCAUUUUGAUUUGCAUUUCUCUGAUCACUAUGGACUUGAACAUUUCUUAAGGUGCUUUUCAGCCAUUCAAGAUUCCUCUGUUGUGAAUUUUUGGUUUAGUUCUAUACCCCAUUUUUUGAUUGGGUAGUUUGGGUUUUUUGGUGGUUAGCUUCUUGAGUUCUUUUAUAUUUUGGAUAUUAGUCCUCUAUCAGAUGUGGGGUUAGUGAAGAUUUCUUUUCCCAAUCUGUAGGUUGCUGACUUGUCUUACUAAACCCUUUGCCUUACAGCUUUCCAGUUUCAGGAGGUUCCAUUUAUCAAUCCCUGAUCUUCAAGUGUGCACAAUUAGAGUUCUGUUUAGGAAAUUUCCCCCUGUGCCAAUGAGUUCAAGGCUCUUUCCCACUUUCUUUUCUAUUAGAUUCAUUGUAUCUGGUUUUAUGUUGAGGUCUUGAUCUACUUGGACUUGAGCUUUGUGCAAGGUGACAAAUAUAGGUCUAUUUUCAUUUUUCUACAUACAUACAGCCAGUUAAACCAGCACCAUUUAUUGAAGAUGCUUUCUUCCAUUGUUAUUUGAAAUAUUUUUCAGAUAUGAGUUUAACUGCAGUUUCCUUUGUUUUCCUUGGGAGUCUUAGUCUUGGCUGUAUGGUUUAAUACUUUUACAAAAUUUUAGAAUUGAUUAUUUUCACCUUUUAUCUUUUUUCCUAAUGCAGUGUACUUGAGACUUUAGUUCCACAUGUUAGGGCCAUUUUCUACAACCCCUACAUUUUCCCCACUUGCUUCCUUUUGAUAAUUUCUUCUUUUCAGAUGUCCACUAUACUAAUUUAAUAUUUUCCUGUGAAGUAAACUGUUAAGUUCAUCUACUGGAUUUUUCAUUUGCUAGAUAACCAUUUUCACAUUGUUACUCAGAUAUUUAUAGUUUCCAUGGGAUUUCUGCCAUCCAUAGUUAGUUCUUUUAGAAUGGCCCCUCUGGCUGGGUCUCUCCCAGCUGCUUGCUUCUCUCUUCCCUCUGUCACCCCUUCCCAUUAUCAGGGUACCUCUGCCUGGUGCUGGUCUCUAAAUGGAAGGCUGAGAUGUGGUUCACUGGCCUAGAGACAGGGUUUCCUGUUUGCUUUGUGAUGUCACCCAGAUGCAUUAAAACAUUUCAGUUGUCUUAAGUGAAGGGUUCUGAGCUGAUCAGAGGUGAGUGCCAGGCCUCCUUAUAAGGAUGGUGCCCUCUAUGGGCCUGCCUCGGAGCCCCUGAGGCUUCCUCCUCACUGCACUCCAGAGUUUGCUGCCCUGGUCCUCUGUGUUAAUUGUUCUCUGAUCAUCAGGUAACAGCAGCGUUACCUUUAUCAACCAUGUUCCCAUUUGGACACACUUGGGAGCAUUGAGGUCUGAGAACAGGAGGUCUGUCCUGGCAGAGUCAGAUAGCACGGCUCCAUGUCAUGCCUCUGGCUACAAGCACAGCUCUGGUGGCUGGUGGCCUCACUUGGGGAAAAACCCUUGAGCUACUUUGAAAAUGACAGGCUGGGUGAUACUCAGUGGCAGAGCAUUAAAGAAUCUAACAGCUUCAUCUUUGUAAAGGUAAAAAUGCUAAUUUUAUUUUCCAUAUGUUUAGCAGUGAUAUCUAGUUGCUUUGUGUUGGUAGGCUUGGGUUUCACUUUUCAAAUAGCUCUUCUGUUCCCACCACACCACAGGGUAUUUCCUUUAUCACUGAUUGUAAAGGCACCUGGUGUGUUUGCAAGCUUUACCCUUUUCUUGGUUUGCAUUGCUUGUGUUUCUGUUCAGUGUUAGCCUGUUGCUUUCAGGAGUAUUUAGGAGUGUCACGUGGAGAGCAAACAGUUCCAUGAAUUCAUGAUCCCUCCAAGUCCAUGCAUUGGCAGACUGUGGGACUAGGGGGUGGGAGAGUAGUACUGGAGGGUGGUGGUUUGCUGUCUAGGGUCUGUAGAUCCUCCACCCUCCAUGCCUGCAGAUCAGUGGGGCAGCCUGGGCACUUGGGCUGCCGUGCAGGACCAGAGGACUGUAACUAGCAGUAACUCUGCUUUGGCCAUGUGUUGAAGGUAAAAGGGGGUGCUCGUUCUGUAGAUGUAGUAACCACUUAUGGCCCAUGUGCCAAGAUGGCUUUAGAGCCUGCAGAGAAAACAGUACUAAGGAACCCAGGGCCAGAGCAGAAGGCUAGCUGAAAGGAUUGUCUGCUUGAUUGUCUGAUUGUCUAUCUUAGGGACUGAACCUAAUGGGUUUGCUAAUACUCACCAAGAGUCUCCGUUCCUCACUCCCAAUUAUUAUCCAAUUUUUGAAA